rnacentral:tRNA from 1 species
GGGAUUGUGGCUCAGUGGUAGAGUGCUUGCCUUGCAUGCAUGAGGCCUUGGAUUCAACUCCUCAGCACCA